CCCUUGGUAGCUUAGAGGGUAAAGCAUCUGCCUGCAAUGCUGGAGACCCAGCUUCAAUCCCUGGGUCAGGAA
rnacentral:tRNA from 1 species